CUAUUGCUCCGUGGAUACCAGGUGGCGCGGACUGCUCUGCUGUACCUUCUUCUGCUCUCUUGGUUUUCUUUCUUUACCUAGUAAUUGGCCUGAUUAUAUAUUUCGUGAGUGUUAAUGGCGUCCUUGUUUCUUUGAUGAGUUGAAAUUUUCCUGCUGUCAUUGCUGACAAUCAUGAUUUGAUGUAAAGAUUGAAUUGGACACCGAUCCUUUAUCACAAAACCAAUAAGUUAUUAUCACAACACCAAUCAGUGCAUGACGAGCUUUCUGCAAACAGAGUUGAUUUAAGAAUUAAUUUGUCAUUUUUUACAGUUAUCACUAAACAAAUCAUUAUCACAAAAUCAGCAAUCAUUGAGUGCACGAAAAGCUUGGUACAGAGUGGAUUACUGGAUUUUUAUUGUUUUACAAUUAUCACAAACCCAGCAAUCACAAUCAGUAAGUGCACGAUGAGCUUGGUUCAAAGUGAAUACUGAAUUUUUCAUGUUAUACAGUUAUCAAUAAACCAAUCAUUGUCACAAAACCAAUCAUCAUCAAAAUUUUGGGGGUAAACCUUUGAUGCAUAUUGUGUGAUACCAUCCUUCACAACCCUUUGUGUCAUAUCCGAUGAGCUCCAACCCCUUUUUCUCCCAUCCGGUUUGGCGACAACAGCUCUUCUUCUUGUACAAUCUCCCUAGACCUCUUGGCUCGGAUUGGAUCCGACAGAAAUGGCGUUAAGGUUCCCGAAACCAAACAGUCCAUCAGGCGUGUAAAGGAGACUCGACAUGCAGCUCAGGAUGUGGUCGUUCUUCCAUGGCGUGCUGGGCAUACUGUCGUACACCAGAGCGUGGUUAGGUUGGAAAAACCUUUAGCGACACACACCCAAUGGUUUGACCCAUUCUGGAUUAUUUGGAACCAUUGAUCGCCCUGCGCGGGAGAGAAUUCAAGUGUCGCCCCCAUUGUGGAGCAAUACAACCCUCCGAUCGUUGGAUGAAGUCUUUUCAGGAUCACUUGGGCCAAGUUCAUGUCGCCCGUGUUUAGAUAAUUGUGGUUCGUUAUCAUUUGGGGCUUAUCCAAGAAGAGACAGGGCUCUCUGAUCCUGCUUCUAUGUGUUUUGGCUGUACGACAAGUUUUUAGAACCUAUCAAUAGACGGAUCAUCAAUCGUAGCAGCGUCCACUUUGCAUUUUCCGUCGGCAGACAAAUCGUAGGGUGAAACGGUGGAAGCUUCCACUUCGCAACUUUCGUCCACAAGAGGACUAUCAGCAAGUGAGGGAGUGAUGAGAUCAAUGUUAUUGCACGUUUCUUCCUCUCGUGCAAUGGCCUCGGCUUCCUCGUUCAGGAUUGCCACUUCUUCUUCCAAUCGAUUAUCGAAGUCGUUUCUUGCCAGUCUUUUCUUU